GAUCAAGUCCCCCUGUGGAAAAAAGGAAUAAAUUUGAGAGGAUUAGCAGUUUCUAAUAUACGAUCACUGUAGAAAGUCCAGGGAGCAGGAGGAAGAGGGGGACAAAGAAAGAAAUAAUUACUCAGCAACUCAAUAAUUCUACAUAUCUGUCAGGUUUAGGAACCAUUGCCCCAGGAUAAUAACAGCUGGAGAAGUGGGAAAGGGUGAGGGAGAAGCUGAAAAGGACAUCGAGCAGGAGAGGUACCAUGCAGCUCAGACAACCUACCUCUCUUCACUUCCCAUCCCCCUGGAGAGGUGAGGCCAGGUUCUCAAGCUUCCCCAGAUGCACAUGAGGCAGAGCAAAAGGGAAGCCAACAGAAUGGUUAAGAUUUCCAGUUAACUCAAUACACAAGAAAAAAAGGGCAAAUUUUUGGAGCAGCCACAUUUAAGCUAUUGGAAAAAAAAAAGAGAGAAUAAAGAAAAGAAACAGAAAGGUAAGAAAACAAAAUUCUAGUGCCCUCAAGUUAUAAUUAAUCUUGUUCCCUCUAUUCUUGUUACUCCCUGUACUCCAAUUACAGCUCUGAAGUCUACCUUGUCCUACAGCUGGUUGUAUAUGUCUUU